GUCCGGAUGGCUCAGUGAUCAGUGCAUCUGCCUAGUAAGCAGAAGAUCUGGGUUCGAAUCUCAGUCCGGCACA